GAAGCUGUGUGGGGUGUGAUCCUUACUAGGUUGUAACUUCUGGGGGUCUUAUGCCAAGUAAGCACAAAGUCAGUAGAAGGAGUGAAAAAAGAAUCCUCUGACAUGAUGGCAGACUGGCAGACAACAAAUGAAGUUGUCUCCACAGGCGCCCUGGAGGAACAACAACAUCAGUUUUAUGAGCAGGGAAGCUGCUGUCACAGAACAAGGAGAGACCAUUAUAGGCUUCUACCUACUGGCUUUAGGUACGUACUCUGUCUUGGCUUUGCUAGUGAAAUUACACUCUUGGUAGAGCUUGG
rnacentral:lncRNA from 1 species